rnacentral:rRNA from 1 species
GACGAACGCUGGCGGCGUGCCUAACACAUGCAAGUCGAACGGAAAGGCCCUGCUUUUGUGGGGUGCCCGAGUGGCGAACGGGUGAGAAACACGUGAGUAACCUGCCCUUGACUUUGGGACAACUUCAGGAAACUGGGGAUAAUACCUGAUAGGAGCUGCUGCUGCAUGGUGGGGGUUGGAACGUUUCGGCGGUUGGGGAUGUACUCGCGGUUUACCAGCUUGUUGGUGGGGUAGUGGCUUACCAAGGCUUUGACGGGUAGACGGCCUGUGUGACUGAGCCGCCGCAUUGGGACCGAGGUGCGGCCGCGACUCCGACGGGAGGAAGCAGUGCGGAAUACUGCACCAUGGACGGCAGCCGGAUGCAGAAACGCCGCGUACGGGAUGACGGCCUUAGUGUGGUAAACCGCUUUCGCCUGUGACGAAGCGUGAGUGACGGUAAUAGGUGAAGAAGCACCGGCUAACUACGUG